GACGAACGCUGGCGGCGUGCCUAAUACAUGCAAGUUGAGCGAUGAAGAUUGGUGCUUGCACCAAUUUGAAGAGCAGCGAACGGGUGAGUAACGCGUGGGGAAUCUGCCUUUGAGCGGGGGACAACAUUUGGAAACGAAUGCUAAUACCGCAUAACAACUUUAAACAUAAGUUUUAAGUUUGAAAGAUGCAAUUGCAUCACUCAAAGAUGAUCCCGCGUUGUAUUAGCUAGUUGGUGAAGUAAAGGCUCACCAAGGCGAUGAUACAUAGCCGACCUGAGAGGGUGAUCGGCCACAUUGGGACUGAGACACGGCCCAAACUCCUACGGGAGGCAGCAGUAGGGAAUCUUCGGCAAUGGACGAAAGUCUGACCGAGCAACGCCGCGUGAGUGAAGAAGGUUUUCGGAUCGUAAAACUCUGUUGGUAGAGAAGAACGUUGGUGAGAGUGGAAAGCUCAUCAAGUGACGGUAACUACCCAGAAAGGGACGGCUAACUACGUG
rnacentral:rRNA from 1 species